rnacentral:lncRNA from 12 species
AUGGUGGUGAGGAAUGAUGGGGUUGUCUUGGGAGCCCACUGCAAUUGCACAGCUGGACUUGGUGAGAGCUGCUCCCAUGUGUCAGCUGUGUUGUUCAGCAUAUGGCAGCAUAACAAUGGAAGAAAAGAAGAGAUAGCUGUAACAUCUAAGAAGUGCAAGUGGGCCACCCUAAGUGAGGACUCUUUAAAGAAAGUGGAGUAUCAGCAGGGCAAGGACAUAAUUUUUAACAACACUCAACAAUAUAAAAAAGGAAAAUCUUCAAAAGGUCAUUCUGCCCCCCCAGCUUUCCCACCUCUGACCGCUGCUGAGCAAGCCCAACUCUACAAGAACCUCUCCCAAUGCCGCACACAAGAGGAGCAGAUCAUCAAACCAGUAGUCCUGUCUGUUGUCAAAGAGUAUGCAGCAUCCUAUGUGCCAAAGGCUGUCAUGCUGGAUGUACCAGAACCCCUCACCAACCUGUAUAACAAGCAGAUAAGAGACCUCAACCUGGCAGAGUUACAAGAUCGAGCAGAAGCACUAUUUGAAGACAUAACUGUGACCAAAGAACAGAUGGGGAUGUCAGCACGAGGAAUUGGCAAGAAAAUACUAUGAAAUGCAGCAUCGCCUCUCACACACGGAUGUCAUGGUAGGAACAGCUGGAUUCAGGAUUUCACCCCUGCACCCAUUUAUCGGGGCCUCACCUGAUGGCUUUGUUUCCUGCAGCUGCUGUGGUUCAGGUGUCAUAGAAAUUAAGUGCCCAUUUUCUGUAAAGAACCUUUCUGUUAAUGAGGCAGCAAAUUCUGUUGCACACUUUUGCCUUGAAAAAGAUGCGCAAGCAAAAAUUAGACUGAAGCGGGACCAUGCAUACUAUUAUCAAGUGCAGAUGCAGCUAUUUGUUACUGACAAACAAUAUUGUGAUUUCAUUCUGUGGACUGAAAGAGAAAGUACUUCACCUUUUGUUGAACGUGUCACACCUGAUGUGGCAUUCUUUGCCAAUGAAUUGGAAUGCGCUUGUGACUUAUAGGCUUAGCCUUCCAGUGAUGGGAUGUAUAGUAAAUAGAACUGAUGUGACUGGCUACAGAUGUGCUCAACCAGGAAAUAAACCUUUUUGACUCUCACUUCUUGCUUCCUUGUUGUGACAUUACUUUUGAUCAUUUUGAUCACUCGCUAGUCUGAUGCGAUCACAUUCUGGCUAUAUAUAUAUAUAAGGCUAUAUAUAAAAUGAUAGAAUAUUAGGGCCACAGAGGGAAAAAAAAGACAAGUCAUAAUAUUGUAACCAGUUGUUUUAAAGGAGGACAGUUGUUAAAAUGACAGA